rnacentral:rRNA from 1 species
ACUACCCCUGCGAGCGUUAAUCGGAAUUACUGGGCGUAAAGCGUGCGCAGGCGGUUGGGUAAGUCUGAUGUGAAAUCCCCGGGCUCAACCUGGGGACUGCCUUUGAGACUUCACGGCUAGAGUGUGGCAGAGGGGGGUAGAAUUCCACGUGUAGCAGUGAAAUGCGUAGAGAUGUGGAGGAAUACCGAUGGCGAAGGCAGCCCCCUGGGCCCUUACUGACGCUCAUGCACGAAAGCGUGGGGAGCAAACAG